rnacentral:rRNA from 1 species
GACGAACGCUGGCGGCGUGCUUAACACAUGCAAGUCGAACGGAAAGGCCCUGCUUGCAGGGUACUCGAGUGGCGAACGGGUGAGUAACACGUGUGUGAUCUGCCCUGCACUUCGGGAUAAGCCUGGAAAACUGGGUCUAAUACCGGAUAGGAGCCAUUUUUAGUGUGAUGGUUGGAAAGUUUUUUCGGUGUAGGAUGAGCUCGCGGCCUAUCAGCUUGUUGGUGGGGUAAUGGCCUACCAAGGCGGCGACGGGUAGCCGGCCUGAGAGGGUGGACGGCCACAUUGAGACUGAGAUACGGCCCCGACUCCUACGGGAGGCAGCAGCGGCGAAGAUUGAUCAAGGGGAGCGAGCCUGAUGCAGCGACGCCGCGGGGGGGAUGACGGCCUUCGGGUUGGAAUCGCCAUUCGCUAGGGACGAAGCUUUUUGUGACGGUACCUAGAUAAGAAGCACCGGCUAACUACGUG